rnacentral:snoRNA from 1 species
UGAAACCGUGAUGAGAGUAUGUCAUAGACUGAGGAUUAUGACUGAUCCAAUUCUGUUACCUGAAAUCCAAA